AUAAUGGGUCAGCGACUUAUAUUCUGUAGCAAGGUUAACCGAAUAGGGGAGCCGAAGGGAAACCGAGUCUUAACUGGGCGUUAAGUUGCAGGGUAUAGACCCGAAACCCGGUGAUCUAGCCAUGGGCAGGUUGAAGGUUGGGUAACACUAACUGGAGGACCGAACCGACUAAUGUUGAAAAAUUAGCGGAUGACUUGUGGCUGGGGGUGAAAGGCCAAUCAAACCGGGAGAUAGCUGGUUCUCCCCGAAAGCUAUUUAGGUAGCGCCUCGUGAAUUCAUCUCCGGGGGUAGAGCACUGUUUCGGCAAGGGGGUCAUCCCGACUUACCAACCCGAUGCAAACUGCGAAUACCGGAGAAUGUUAUCACGGGAGACACACGGCGGGUGCUAACGUCCGUCGUGAAGAGGGAAACAACCCAGACCGCCAGCUAAGGUCCCAAAGUCAUGGUUAAGUGGGAAACGAUGUGGGAAGGCCCAGACAGCCAGGAUGUUGGCUUAGAAGCAGCCAUCAUUUAAAGAAAGCGUAAUAGCUCACUGGUCGAGUCGGCCUGCGCGGAAGAUGUAACGGGG
rnacentral:rRNA from 1 species